rnacentral:rRNA from 1 species
UACGUAGGGUGCAAGCGUUAUCCGGAAUUAUUGGGCGUAAAGAGCUCGUAGGCGGUUUGUCGCGUCUGCUGUGAAAACUGGAGGCUCAACCUCCAGCCUGCAGUGGGUACGGGCAGGCUGGAGUUCGGUAGGGGAGACUGGAAUUCCGUGGUGUAGCGGUGAAAUGCGCAGAUAUCAGGAGGAACACCGAUGGCGAAGGCAGGUCUGCUGG